rnacentral:lncRNA from 1 species
GCGUACUGUUGCUUGCCCUUUCUUGCUAGUGAGACCCCUUUCAUGGUGUGAAGAAGCCCAGGUUAGACCCUUGGAGGAGAGAUGCCCCACUUACCCCAGGCCGUCUGGGAGCUGCUCUUAGACUGCAGAGAGAAGGAACCAGAGCCAAGAGGACGACUAGAUCUCGAUUCUGUAGGACCACUGAGACUGUAUACAGAACAUCCUAGGUUGUCUUCUUGCAGAGAAGGUCUGGGGUAUGUAUUCAGCAACUCUCAGAUCUUUUUGGCCCAAGGUUCUUCCUGAGGUCUUUAACUCCCUGGCCAUUCCAGGCGACCUGAUGUUAUCAAGCCACCUUGAGGCAGCCAGAGCAUAACACCAGGUAGCCAAAGGAGGCCACAUUAGUGUCCUCUAAAUCGAGCAAGGAGGCAGUUGCUGUGCAACUGUGAUAAUGAGCUUUGUCAAUGUGACACAAGCUACGAUCUCCUGGCAAUCGUAUCUCAGGGACCGAUCUGCCAGUGGGCAUGUCUGUGAAGGAUGGUCUUAACUGAAUCAAUUGUGACGGAAGACCCACCCUCAGUGGGAAAGGCACCAUUUCCUGAACUGUGUAAGAGUGAAGAAAGUUAAUUGUGGAUAAGCAAGCCCUGGUUUCUCUCUGCCCUUGACUGGAGGUGAUGUGACCAGCCUCCUCGCGCUCCUGCACCGUGAUUUCCUCACAAUUGUGGACUAUAGCUAAAAUCAACCCCUUCUCUCCUAAGUGACUUCUUGUCAGUGUUCUAAAAAAUUAAUUAAUUAAAAAUUUUAUUACAACAAACAGAAAGAAAACUAGGGCAGACACCGAUGGCAUCUACCUUGCUUUCCUCCCUUGUGUGAUGGGGACUGUGCCCGACUCUCAGAACACUUGUGAAGACUGAAUGAUGCAUAAGGCAUCACGUGUGUUCCAAGUGCCUGGCCCAUCACAAGUAUGAAAUAAAGAAGAGGUAUUCGUGAUACA